GGCCCUACGGGGCGCAGCAGGCGCGAAAACUUUACCAUGCGGGCAACCGUGAUAAGGAAACCCCGAGUGCCAGCACAGGCUGGCUGUCCGCCAGUUUAAACAACUGGCGAAGAAAGGGCCGGGCAAGACCGGUGCCAGCCGCCGCGGUAAUACCGGCGGCUCGAGUGGUGGCCGCUAUUACUGGGCUUAAAGGGUCCGUAGCUUGAUAAUAGGGUCCCUUGAGAAAUCCGCCGGCUUAACUGGCGGGCGUUCAGGGGAAACUUGUUUUCUAGGGACCGGGAGAGGUGAGGGGUACUGCCGGGGUAGGAGUGAAAUCCUGUAAUCCUAGGGGGACCACCUGUGGCGAAGGCGUCUAACUGGAACGGGUCUGACGGUGAGGGACGAAACCUAGGGGAGCGAGCCGGAUUAGAUACCCGGGUAGUCCUAGGCGUAAAUGAUGCGAGUUAAGUGUGGGGACAUCUACGAGAUGGCCCUGUGCUGUAGGGUAGCCGUUAAACUCGCCGCCUGGGGAGUACGGUCGCAAGGCUGAAACUUAAAGGAAUUGGCGGGGGAGCACCACAACGGGUGGAGCUUGCGGUUUAAUUGGAUUCAACGCCGGAAAUCUUACCG
rnacentral:rRNA from 1 species